ACUGAAUUAGCGCAGUUGGUAUAGCAUCAGAUUGUAUAUCGAAAGGUCCUAGGUUCGAUACCCGGUUCUGGAA
rnacentral:tRNA from 1 species